rnacentral:rRNA from 1 species
CCUACGGGACGCAGCAGUGAGGAAUAUUGGUCAAUGGGCGCGAGCCUGAACCAGCCAAGUCGCGUGAGGGAAGACGGUCCUAUGGAUUGUAAACCUCUUUUGUCGGGGAGCAAAAGACGCCACGCGUGGCGUUCCGAGAGUACCCGAAGAAAAAGCAUCGGCUAACUCCGUGCCAGCAGCCGCGGUAAUACGGAGGAUGCGAGCGUUAUCCGGAUUUAUUGGGUUUAAAGGGUGCGCAGGCGGCGAGUUAAGUCAGCGGUAAAAUUUCGGGGCUCAACCCCGACGAGCCGUUGAAACUGGCUUGC